rnacentral:lncRNA from 1 species
CUUUGAGCCCGCCACCGUAAUGCCCCCCAAUGAUGGUGUUUAUUAUGCCGACUGGGGGUUGGUUUUUCUGCAGCUCAGUCUGCUGUGGUUGCUUUGCUGGCCAAGGAGAUCUCUGUCGAUCUUUUCGCUGCUCCCUCCUUCAUCGGAUAAAUCGGUUGAGAUGGCUAUGCUUGAUGAAAUCCUCGAUCUCAUUCUGGAGUUGGAUACACUACUCC